rnacentral:rRNA from 1 species
GAUUAACGCUGGCGGCGUGCCUAACACAUGCAAGUCGAACGAUGAAACUCAUUAGAUUUCUUCGGAAUGAAGAUGAAUGGAUUAGUGGCGAACGGGUGAGUAACGCGUGAGUAACCUGCCUUACACAAGGGGAUAGCCUCUGGAAACGGAGAAUAAUACCCUAUGAAACCAGACAAUCGCAUGAUAAUCUGGUCAAAAUGUUUAGUGGUGUAAGAUGGACUUGCGUCUGAUUAGCUAGUUGGUGAGAUAAAAGCUCACCAAGGCAACGAUCAGUAGCCGGCUUGAGAGAGUGUACGGCAACAUUGGGACUGAGACAAGGCCCAGACUCCGACGGGAGGCAGCAGUGGGGAAUUUUGCACAAUGGGGGAAACCCUGAUGCAGCGACGCCGCGUGAUUGAGAAGGCCUUCGGGUUGUAAAAAUCUUUUGUAUAGGAAGAAAAUGACAGUACUAUACGAAUAAGGUCCGGCUAAGUACGUG